UACGAAGGGGGCUAGCGUUGCUCGGAAUCACUGGGCGUAAAGCGCACGUAGGCGGAUCUUUAAGUCGGGGGUGAAAUCCUGGAGCUCAACUCCAGAACUGCCUCCGAUACUGGGGAUCUUGAGUCCGAGAGAGGUGAGUGGAACUCCGAGUGUAGAGGUGAAAUUCGUAGAUAUUAGGAAGAACACCAGUGGCGAAGGCGGCUCACUGGCCCGGUACUGACGCUGAGGCGCGAAAGCGUGGGGAGCAAACAGG
rnacentral:rRNA from 1 species